GGCUGUGUGGCCUAAAGGAUAAGGCAUCUGACUUCAGAUCAGAAGAUUGCAGGUUUGAGUCACUGCUGUGGUCA
rfam:Papio anubis isolate 1X1155 chromosome 15, whole genome shotgun sequence.